CCGCAAUAGGGAUAGUAAUGGAUAUCCUUUUUGUUUUUUGCGCGGGAAAAAGCGUUGGAAAAACAAAAAGAUAGUAAUGGAUAGCCCGGCCCGAG
rnacentral:sRNA from 1 species